CUGACUCCUGUUCCCCAUUUGCUGAUUAUAGUUUCUUGGAAACUGCAUAAUCAUGGACUUCUAUCUCCUAGGUCAUGCAAGCUCAUGGGUUUGGAAAAAGCUCAUUGGAACACAGCAAAUAUGAGAGAGACAUGGGACCUUGGAAGCAAAAACACUGGAAGGGAAGUUGGCAGAGUGUCUAUUUUGAAACAUAAAUAGGAGAUAAGGGAAUGUGGUAUGGUCACAUCUGCUAAACUAUGGAUUUGGGAAAAGAGAUGGGUAUGUAUAGAAAAGAACUACGGCGACUUGAUAGAGAAACACAGAUUCACAGGUUUAUCAGGUAGGUGGCAUGGAGAAAUGUAUGAAGAUGUGUAUCUGACCUUUUCUAUCAUCC
rnacentral:lncRNA from 9 species